GUGAGCAUGGUGUAGUGGUUUGAACAUUGGAGUACAAUUCUGGAAACCAGGGUUCAAUUCCCUGCUUGGUCAUG